UACGUAGGGUGCAAGCGUUGUCCGGAAUUAUUGGGCGUAAAGGGCUCGUAGGCGGUCUGUCACGUCGGGAGUGAAAACUCAGGGCUUAACCCUGAGCCUGCUUCCGAUACGGGCAGACUAGAGGUAUGCAGGGGAGAACGGAAUUCCUGGUGUAGCGGUGAAAUGCGCAGAUAUCCGGAGGAACACCAGUGGCGAAGGCGCCUUCCUGGCCUAAGACUGACGCUGAGGUGCGAAAGCGUGGGGAGCAAACAGG
rnacentral:rRNA from 1 species